AAUAUUGCACAAUGGGCGCAAGCCUGAUGCAGCAACGCCGUGUGAGUGAAGAAAGUUUUCGGAUCGUAAAACUCUGUCCUAAGGGAAGAACAAAUGACGGUACCUUAGGAGGAAGCCCCGGCUAACUACGUGCCAGCAGCCGCGGUAAUACGUAGGGGGCAAGCGUUAUCCGGAAUCACUGGGCGUAAAGGGUGCGUAGGCGGCUUAGCAAGCCAGGGGUGAAAGGCAUUGGCUCAACCAAUGUAAGCCUUUGGAACUGUUAAGCUUGAGUGCAGGAGAGGUAAGUGGAAUUCCUAGUGUAGAGGUGAAAUUCGUAGAUAUUAGGAGGAACACCAGUGGCGAAGGCGACUUACUGGACUGUAACUGACGCUGAUGCACGAAAGCGUGGGUAGCGAACAGGAUUAGAUACCCUGGUAG
rnacentral:rRNA from 1 species